rnacentral:lncRNA from 1 species
AGAGACCACCACAGCCUGUGAGAGUCUCCAGUGGACAACGGUUGUCUGAUUGAGACUCUUCCUGGUGUGCUCAGAAAAACCUGUACUUUUUUUGUUUCAAUUAGUUUUAUAGACAUUUCAAGCUGGGGCCUGCAUUUUUUUGUGCAACCCUGGGGUUCAACAAUUUGAAACUGCUUCACACCAAGAGCAGAGAAACUCGCUCUGUGGUUAUCACCUCAGAGAGACACAAUACCCAAAACCUGAGAACAUUCGCCUUGUUUUGUUGGAGUCAACACAUCUGCCAGGUUAUCUGUCUUCAGUCAACAUGGCUCAUAGAAAUCCAUGCUGAAUUAUUUUUUAGGAAGUUCGGUUUUGUUGACGAUGGAGUUAAAUGUUAUUCGUGUUAAAGUGAGUCUUUAAGAAGAUGGCCGGCUGUGUUUCUACAUAGUUUUGACAUCUGUCUUCAUUUCUCAUUUUUCCUCUAAGAUGUUCUGCACAUAUUUGUCAAUUUCUGUGGUCUGACUCAGAGCACAGGAAGUGUGGAGGAGCUUGACCGGAGAAAGAGGCUGAGAACUGCUUCUCUUACCAAGGACCUUCCCCAAGCCAGGCAUCUCCGGAGAUGGUAUGGAGCCUGGGGUAGCUCGGCCAGGCCUUUGAUCACCAGCGAUGCCAUUGCUCUUCCCCGUUUCGCGUCUGCUGUGGCUUGCUGCUGAGGCUGCUUUCAGACCUCUGGAAUCAGAAAAGGAGGUGACUAUAUCAGGUUCAGCAGAGGACACAUCUGGAACCCCUUUCCUGCUGGAGUGGACAGUGGAGGCAGCGCCACAGUGGAUUUUCAUUGGUGUCUCCCCUGGCUGCCUGGUGGCUGCCUGUCAGAGCCAGCGCUUGAGAACGUGGCUGCUAGUGAAAGUGUUUAUGUGUUUAUGUGACCACAGGAGAACCUUCAGGAGUGAGGCUAACUCAUCUGUGCCACUUAAUGCCGGAGUAACAAAGCCCCCAUCCACUGAGGACGGAGAGAGCAGAUUGUAAGGAGAGAGCAGAUUGUGUGGAGAGGCAGGGGUUUCUGUCACGUAGAAAGCAUCUUGUACAAUGUCUGACACACAGCAAGUGACCAAAAUGUGCCAGGCUGGUCCACCCAGUGCUCUCCAAACACCGUGGUCGCUUGCAUCUGUGGGAUUUUGCUGGUGAUCCUUCCCUAUUUAUCUGAG